AAGUUAAAAGAAAAUAUUCGCAAAAGUUGGAGAACCAAAUACAAGCUACCCCCCGUAAUCGGCACUCACUCUACCGCGUCCCUUCCCUCUCUUCUCUCAGUCUCUGAGAUCACAUUCAUCAAUUUUGGGCCCAUGAGAACUUGUAAUUGCGAAUCGGAGCCUGAGCCCAUGGAAUCAGACUCUCCAGAUGAUUUUCGUCGAGACUCACUAGACUUUGAUCACUGGACUUCACUCAUUU